UACGUAGGGUGCGAGCGUUAAUCGGAAUUACUGGGCGUAAAGCGUGCGUAGGCGGUUCUCCAAGUCCGUUGUGAAAGCCCCGGGCUCAACCUGGGAAUGGCAGUGGAAACUAGGGGACUGGAAUCUGGCAGAGGGGGGUGGAAUGCCGCGUGUAGCAGUGAAAUGCGUAGAGAUCGGGAGGAACAUCUGUGGCGAAGGCGACUGCCUGGACCAGCACUGACACUGAGGCACGAAAGCGUGGGGAGCAAACAGG
rnacentral:rRNA from 1 species